rnacentral:piRNA from 1 species
GAGGGCUUCAGGAGAGAGGAGGCAG